rnacentral:rRNA from 1 species
GCCGCCAUGGCGGCCGCGGGAAUUCGAUUAUGGCUGUCGUCAGCUCGUGCCGUGAGGUGUAUGGUUAAGUCCUGCAACGAGCGCAACCCUUAUUGCUAGUUAUAUUCUCUAGCGAUACUGCCUCGCAAAACGGGGAGGAAGGUGGGGAUGACGUCAAGUCAGCAUGGCCUUUAUGCCCUGGGCUACACACACGCUACAAUGGGCGGUACAAUGGGUUGCCACCGGGUGACCGGGAGCUAAUCCCCAAAACCGUCCUCAGUUCGGAUUGCAGGCUGAAACUCGCCUGCAUGAAGUCGGAGUUGCUAGUAAACGCGUGUCAGCAUAGCGCGUUGAAUACGUUCUCGGGCCUU